ACAAUGGCAGAAACAGUGCAAUAGAAUUAGAAUCUAAAUAUUUCUA
rnacentral:tRNA from 1 species